GACGAACGCUGGCGGCGUGCUUAACACAUGCAAGUCGAACGAUGAAGCCGGAGCUUGCUCCGGUGGAUUAGUGGCGAACGGGUGAGUAACACGUGAGCAAUCUGCCCUUGACUCUGGGAUAACUGCGGGAAACUGUAGCUAAUACCGGAUACGACACCUUGGGGCAUCCCAGGGUGUGGAAAGAAUUUCGGUCAAGGAUGAGCUCGCGGCCUAUCAGCGAGUUGGUGAGGUAAUGGCUCACCAAGGCGACGACGGGUAGCCGGCCUGAGAGGGUGAGCGGCCACACUGGAACUGAGACACGGUCCAGACUCCUACGGGAGGCAGCAGUGGGGAAUAUUGCACAAUGGGCGAAAGCCUGAUGCAGCAACGCCGCGUGAGGGAUGAAGGCCUUCGGGUUGUAAACCUCUUUUAGCAGGGAAGAAGCGAAAGUGACGGUACCUGCAGAAAAAGCACCGGCUAACUACGUGCCAGCCGCCGCGGUAA
rnacentral:rRNA from 1 species